UUGUAGCACAGUAUACACUAAUUAAAACCUAUGCUCUAUGUUGAAUUAUCAUGUGUGAUUUUAUUCAUUACCAUAAUUAGUUAGAUUCUUUAAACCAGUUUUCAAAAACAAUUCUAUUCUAACCUAUACUCUUCAUACUAGAGAGUGCCAUCACUGCAACAAAACCUAAUUUAGAUGACCAUUUGGGGGAAGCGGUCAUUCAAAACUGCCGUUGCUGCAAUCUCUACAUUCACAUACCAGCGGUAAAACACAACCGCCUCUGAAGCACAAAUCCAGCGGCAGCCAUCACACUCGUUCCACGGCGGUUCAUGAAUUCGCGCCAUUACUUGCUCAGACCGCCUAAUUUCUCUUUCCUUCGCACUUCUCGCUAGCUCCACUACCCACUACUAUCUGCCAUGACCCCAAUUUUUCGUUCUUCCCAAACCUAGCGCGCCCAGAACCCCAAGUGCAGUGAAAAGAAAAUCUUCGUUCAAAACGAAAGUCUGCAACAAAUCAUUGAUUAGCAAAAUUAUACGCAUUUGUUCCUGUCCCUGUUGUUUCUCCUUCUUGUUCAUCGCUCUGAACGCACGAAUUUCUCUCCUGGAAGUGCAAAUUUUUGCAAUUUAAGGUUACUCUGUCUCUUUCUCUACUAUUAGGAAUUUAGGGGUUUAUUGGAUAUAAAUUGUAAAGAGAAAUUCGUACUUUCUUUUUUUGGUAUUAGAAUGAAUUCGUACUUAUUACUUAAUUAAUUAAAAGACAAUCUAGCUUGAAACUAAUAAUGGAAAAUUGUCCGAUGAAGUAUUGCGCUUGAAGAACAAUUUAUGUGAUUUGAUUUGUAUUCAAUCAGUCUAAUUUCAUUGAUGAAUUCAUCAUUGGGAUCGGAGUUGCAUAUUUGAUCAUAUUUUCUGUUUAAAUUAGUUCUCAAUUGAGGUCUAAAUUAUGAAGUAAAAUGAGCAACUAAGAGAAGAAGGGAGGGUGUAUUUGUUUAUUUGUGAGCAAAGUAAAAAUUCUGCAGAGAAUAAUAAUCAUGACAAAUAAAAAAAGAAGCAAAAUCUGAGAUACAAAACACAAGAAGAAAUAGACCCAAAACUGAUUGCAGGUAGAAUUUGACUACAAUGGAAUAAUAAAACUCCAAAGAAACCACCACGCAUGCAUAUCAGAGAGGUAUUUGAAGUGUUUGAUUAAUAGGGUUUUGCAGGUUUUUAAUCUGAAAUAGUUAUUCUUUCUGGUCUAUAUUUUUAGCAAAGGGAGCCAAAUUGAGUCAAGACCAACUUUGGCACAGGUAAUAAUUAUUAGUAUUUUUAGAUUUGUCAUAUUUUGUUGAUGAAUAUUGAUAAUUAAAGUUAGCAAAAUUGGAUUAUUUAUUCUAUUAUGAAUGCUAGCCCUGUUUGGUAUUGAUGUAUUCAUACUUCUAUAGUCAAAUAGCUACUGCCAAGUGCCAAUACUAUCCCUUUGUGUUUGUCUCGUCUAUACUUGGUAAAACUUUGGUAAAUUAAAGCUGUACUAUAAUGUAUCUAUAUUCUAUAUUUAUCCACACCACUAGUGCUUGAUAUUAAGGGUCCCAAUUUUUUUAUUUAUUUAUCAAAUCUGAGAGCCUUGCAUUGCAUCACGCUGUAAUAGAAAAUUGUGAGAGAUGCUUGAAGAAAACAGUAUCCAAACCAUGACAGAAAAACAAGUGUUAAAAAAAUGAAAUGAACACGUGUUAUGAGAAUUGCCUACAGCCUGAUAGCUUCUCUAGUUUAUCCCUUCUCUAUUUCUGUAAAUUUAAAAAAAAAAAAGAAAAACUGGGCAAUUUAAACAAAAUUCUCCUUUAAGAUAAUAAUUUAUACUACCGUAAACAGUUAAAAACUUGAUAAAUGGCAAAGAUAAGAGAUUCAUGUCCAUGGAUGAAACAUCAUUGCUUCUGUUUUUUGUUGAUGUCACAUGCAUCUGCUGCUGUCUUCAACUGAAACCAAAAAAGGUCUCAGGGAAGAUUUCAGGAUUUAAACUAAUUGAAAACUAAAACAACCCAAGAGAAGGAAUUGGACAUAAGUGCAAGCUAAAGAAUAAGUUAACCUGAUUUUUUUAUUAUUACUUUACAUGCUCUUCUUUGAUUAGAAACAGAACACAUUCACACACAUUUAGAGGUCCAAAAGGCUUGAUUCAUUAUACAGUUAUUUGUUAGUUUUGUGCCUCUUUAUAUAUACAUAUGUGAGUCAUUUAGCUUUUACAAAUUUUUAUAAACUAAAAUAGUUCAUGAAUACUCAAAUAAGAUGGAUGAAAUUAGUUCUUUACAUAAACUUAAAACAGCUGAUUUCCUAUCCACUACUUCUCUUUCAUGUUCUCUGUUCUGCACCUUUUUUAUUGACAUUUUACUAUAUACUUCAAUAGAUCAUAUGAUGCAGAGACUCCAUGCAGAGAACAAUAAGCAUUACUCUAUUGAAGCAUAGACCAUUCAACUUUACAUAGCGAAUAUGACUAAAACAAUUAGUAUUAUGCUAACUGCGAAGUUUAAUGGAGACAUAUUCAUCAAAGUUGGUUGUUGAUGGGGAUUACCCUGUUAUUUUUUUUAUAAACUGUUUUAAUUAGUAAUUUUAUCAAGUGUUUUUAAAGUAUAUAUUAGUUAAAUUAUUUUUUAUUUAUUAUUAUAUUUGUUAGGGAAAAAUUAAAGAUUUAGCUAGAGAAUACUAGAAAUAAAAGAGAAAUAGUAUUUUUUAUUUUUAAGAUUGAUUCACUUAUUAUUUUAUUAGUAUUAAAUUGAAGAUGAGUGGUACCUAAUUGAGAAACACAGAUAUCAAGGGCAUUUCUUGGAAUAAAGAUGUAGAUCAGGAAUUCAAUAGUUGAAGCAUGCUUUGGGCUAUUUUGUGCAAUAGAUUUGUGUCUAUUUAAAAGUCACACGUAGUGUUAUCAUUGAUAUUUUUGUAGACUUUUACAUUAGGACUUUUCAUGAAUGAGAGCUCAAUGAGUAAAAUUACUUCUUAUAUGGUUGAAUAAGGACUUCAGACUAGUUUUGAAUAUAAUUAGUACUUAAUUAAAGGUAAAUCCGAAUGAGUACCUAACUUCUAAACAUGACAGAUAGCCUGGUAAUGGAUCGUAAAAAUUAGUCAACUUGCAUAAAAACUCUAGAUCAUAAAUUAAUUUACAUAAUCAUUCAUUAGUGUGUUCUCCGUGGUAUGCGAUUAUUUAGUUUUACUUGCCGUAAACAACACCGGACGUGCGUUUAUUCUGAUCAUAUUUUCAUGCAUUUGCUAUAGAGAUAUUUAUUUUGUUGUUAAGAUGGUCUUGAAGUUAAAUUGUCUAGUUUUGAGUGCAUAGCUAGCUAACUAAUUAGGAACCUUUUUUUGGAUAGAAUUGAAAGAAUGGAGAAUGUACAGUAAAUAGUGAUGAUGCAUUAACAGUUAAGACUUAAGAGUAGUACCAUCUCUCUCUUACUUUCUUUGUGAAACUGCAAAUGCAACUGCAUCUGGAACUGCUGCGUUUUAUGUCUGAAAUUGGUGCUAUGUACAAGAAUAUUUAUUCCAACCCGUAGUGAAUGCUGUUUUGUUUGGAAGUAACAUACCUACCUAUUCCAUUUUACUUAUUUGCUGAUUUUUUUUUUUUGAAAAACAAGUAAGUAACAUCUCUUUCCCUAUGGUUGGUAGAUUAGUAUUUUUAAAAAAAUAUAUAUUUACAUAGUUGUUACUAAAUAGUGCACAUGGCUUUAAACCAGAACAAAUUACUUUAAAGCUAUGGAAGUUCUGGAUAAAUCGUGGAUUAAGAGACCACGAAAUUCUCUUGAGUAUGCACAAGGUGUCUCAAGAUUUAUUGAGUUCGCUUUUGCAUUUAAAGAUCCUCUUCCGAGUUUUCUUCUGGGUCUUUUUUCAUUGGAUCCUCUUCCUCGUGGCUAGAUCUAUUGGAUUCCUUUCUUUUUUGUAUCUCAGAAUCUGAGUCGACGUAGACCACCUCAGAUAAGCAGCGUUUUUGGGUACUGGAUUUGGAGUAUUUGCAUCUAGAAAUGUUACAAUAGGCAGUUGGAGAUUUUUUUUGGACAGAUCCUCGACCUAUAUUAAUUGUUUGGAUCACAGUAGUUGUAGUUGUAAUUAUCCAGACUUGUUUGAGAAGAUCAUAUUCCGAAGUCAUCCUGAGAAGGCGCUGGGUUGUUUUCACUCUAUGUGCAUGUGCCAUUUAUACUCCUCUAUAGAUAGUAUAAAAAAGAAAAAAAGGUGAAAACUUGAAAUAUAUCAAUAAAAAUACUAUGUACAAAAUAUACUGUAAAGAUCUUGGAAAAGUAAGUAAGCAAUCAAUGAUUUAUUUGCUCCAACAAUAAAAGAGAACCCUAAUUCUUCAUUUCAAGAAAAAUAAAAAAAGAAGCCCAAAGAAAAAAAAGAAGAUCAAGAAGAGGAGGGAGAGCGAGAGAAAGAAAAAGCAACAUAUAUUACAGACUUGGCUCAACUUUUGAUGACUACUACUACAGCAGGCAAUAGCUCUCGGUAGAAUACUAACUGAUGCACUCUUUCGUUUCACUUCAAUUCCAUCAUCACUAUUUAUAGCCCUUUGUUUCUUUGUCCAUCUUUGAAAGGAGCUCUCAUGAAAGAAAAAUGCUGCUAACCAGCUAAGCCCUCAAAUGAUUUUUUUUCCUCAAAACAAACGCUGAUCACGUACAAAUUAUAUUAACAUAAUGCAUCUUUUUCUUGUUAAAAUUAAACCACUCUUAACUACAAAUAACAACUCCUGUUCUGAAAUGUCAAGAGUUCAAUCCUUGGUUAUAUGGAGGAGUAUAGAAGGAGCCAAUCAAGGAGGGAAGCGCGUGGGGCAAGUGACGACAUCUACCCUUACUUUUGAACAGUCAAAAGUGUACCUCACUGAGGAAUGAAGAAGAUAACAUCAUACUCAUACAUUCAAACAUACAAUCCCAAGGAUUUGAAAAAUGAAAAUCAAUUAGUACAUACCAUUUCUGACAAAGUGAUUAUUUUUUUCAUUUUUAUUUGUUUGUAAAAUAAAAAAUACAAGUAUAAAGCUGCAUAGAUGUUACUUCAGUAGACAUUUCAGAACAGGAGUUGUUAUUUGUGGUUAGGUGUGAUUUAAUUUUAGCAAGAAAAAGAUGCAUUGUUUUACUAUAAUUUGUACGUGAUGAGUAUUUGUUUUGAGAAAAAAAAAUUAUUUGUGGGCUUAACUGGUUAGCAGCAUUUUUCUUUCAUGAGAGAUCUUUUCAAAGAUGGACAAAGAAACAAAGGACUAUAAACAGUGAUGAUGGAAUUGAAGUGAAACGAAAGAGUGCUUCAGUUAGUAUUCUAUCGAGAGCUAUUGCUUGCUGUAGUAGUACUCAUCAAAGGUUGAGCCAGGUUCUGUAAUAUAUGUUGCUUUUUCAUUCUCUCGCUCUCCCUCCUCUUCUUGAUCUUCUUCUUUUUCUUUGGCCUUCUUUUUUUUUAUUUUUCUUAAAAUGAA